CAGCACUGGAGCAGGAAGCUUUGUGUAUAUCAAGAACAUCAUGCUCUGUCCUAUCGCACUCCCUCUCUGGUCGGUUGCUCCACUCGCCAUCGCGAAAGCCAAAUCCUAGCGGUGGACGCCGGCAGGACUGGGCAGCGGUGCGGCCGUGCGGGAGACGCGGUGUGGCAAUGCGGAAGCUAGCGGCGGGAGCCAGGCAACUAGAUAAGCUAUGGGGAACAUUGCAAUCACGCCUAUCAUGCAACCAAGACAUCCUUCUGUCAGUCAUUGUCAUUAUGAUGGUGCAGAUGCAUGCCUGUUUUUAGCUUUGUUUCCAUAGUUCCCCCUAACUCUUUGUUUAAUCUAAACUGGUAGUUUUCUGUUCAACAAGUUAUUAGUCUAUGCAAAAUAUGCAAAGGAGAUCAAAUCGGAAGUAAUUUGUCAGUUUAUAAUCCUCCCUUCCGUCCCCAAUUAUUCAAUAUGAUACAAUUUGGUUGUUUAUAAUGUCCAUUGCUAACAUGUGCAUCUUC